rnacentral:rRNA from 1 species
UCAGGAUGAACGCUAGCUACAGGCUUAACACAUGCAAGUCGAGGGGCAGCAUUGGAGUAGCAAUACUCAGAUGGCGACCGGCGCACGGGUGAGUAACACGUAUCCAACCUGCCGCUUACUCGGGGAUAGCCUUUCGAAAGAAAGAUUAAUACCCGAUGGUAUAAAGAGUUCGCAUGUUCUCUUUAUUAAAGAAUUUCGGUAAGCGAUGGGAUGCGUUCCAUUAGAUAGUUGGCGGGGUAACGGCCCACCAAGUCUACGAUGGAUAGGGGGUUCUGAGAGGAAGGUCCCCCACAUUGGAACUGAGACACGGUCCAAACUCCUACGGGAGGCAGCAGUGAGGAAUAUUGGUCAAUGGACGAGAGUCUGAACCAGCCAAAAGUAGCGUGAAGGAUGACUGCCCUAUGGGUUGUAAACUUCUUUUAUAAGGGAAUAAAGUGAGGGACGUGUCCCUUUUUUGUAUGUACCUUAUGAAUAAGGAUCGGCUAACUCCGUGCCAGCCGCCGC